rnacentral:SRP_RNA from 1 species
GCCGGCACAGUGGCACGUGCUUGUAUUCCCAGCUACUCAAGAGGCUGAGGUGGGAGGAUUGCUUGAGCCCAGGAGUUCUGGGCUGUAGUGUGCUAUGCCGAUCGGGUGUCCGCUCUAAGUGCAGCAUAAAUAUGGUGACCUCCUGGGAGCAGGGGACCACCAGGUUGCCUAAGGAGGGGUGAACCAGUCCAAGUUGGAGGUGGAGCAGGUCAAAACUCCAGUUCUAAUCAGUAGUGGGAUCGCGCCUGUGAAUAGCCACUGCACUCCAGCCUGGGCAACAUAGCGAGGCCCUGUCUCU